ensembl:lncRNA novel transcript
CCUCGUUGCAGUUCGCUUUUCCAUGGGAUCGUGGACCCUCAAGUCCUGGCAGCCUGGGUUGCUUUCUGAUGCCUUCAAACAACUCCUAAAUGCCUACCAGCACCAAGCAGGAAAUGAUAAAAAGAGGCUGAUGAGUUUCGGGUGUGGUUCAGCCUGGGAAGCCUCCUUAUUCACAGGAAGCCAGUCCUCGGCUUACACAGCAUCAGGGGAUCAACCACCACACCGUGAUCUAAACUGAGGCCCGCAGAAGUUGGAACAAUGUUAAAAUGAAAGCUUAAAUCAGCCCCAAUUAAAAGAUGAUAUGUCAUUUAAAUCACAAGGAUGUUCUCUAUGAGGCCUUAGAGCUGAAGUCCUUGCACAGCCGACUCUGGCACCCAUCAGCACAUCUCAGACCUUUUCUAGGUUUGGUCCCUGCAUUCAUCAGGACUUUAGAUUACAGGUGGCAGAAAUCAAAUCAAAUGGCUCAAAUAAAAUGGACAAUUGCUAGUUCAUCAUAUCUUUUUAAAACUCCAAAUAUAGACUUUCAGGUAUGGUUAACUUCAGGUUCUAGGUCUAGGCAGCCUUCUUCCCCAUCUUUAGGUCUGCCUUCCCCUCUGUGGGCUCCAUUCUUGGGCAGCCUCUCUUUGUGGCGUGGCGUGGCUUCUGGCAGAUCCAGCAACUCCCAUAGAGAUGUGAGUUUCAUAUCCCUCAGUUUCCAUGGGAGAGCUAAGUCUCAUUGGCUCUGACUGGACCCCUUGGCUAUCUCAUUGAGCCAGUCUCUGUGGCCAAAAGGGCUGGAACACUCUGACAGUUCAGUCCCAAGUUAACUCAUGCCACUGUAGAAAAGCCCCCAGUCUCAGAUUUCGAAGAAAGAUGUGACUCUUUGUAAGAGCUGUGUCAUAGGAAGGGGGAAAGCACUCACCAGUUUCCUAAUAGAGCAAAACGUCACUUGUAAUCUAGGGUCCUGAUUAAUGCAGAGACCAAACCUAGGAAAGAUCUGGAUGCUGGAGUCUACUGUUUGAGGACUUCACCUCUAAGACCUCAUAUAAACAUCCUUUCAAGCUUUCUUCUAUACCCAAGGCCCCUCCAACCUUUGCCUGGAGAGGAGAGACGGUGACUCUGGUGAGGAACAGGCUGAGCGGCAGAGGGGCGAGCAGACCUCUUCAUUGUGGAUCCACGUCUUCGUAGAGGCUUUUGAGAGGAUCCUGACCACAUGCAUUUGGAAGAGGUGUGCUUUACAAAAGCAUUUUCCUACCUCCUUCAACUCUGGGUGACGGCUGUUGAUUCCGAUUGUGGCUGAAACCAUGAUGAUGAAGAUAAUAAUGAUGCUGCUGAUGGCAGAGGUGGUGAUGGUGAUGAUGAAGUUGAUGCUGCUGCUGAUGGUGGAGUUAAUUUUAAAUCUGAGAUGGAUGACUUCUUUGGUGCUGAGUCACUGGAACAGAAAUGGCCUAAUUUUCUAUUGCAUCAAUGUGAGAACAGACUAAUACAACCAGCAUCUCAAAGAAGAGAGGACACAGACACGUGCAGAGGAUGUAGGGAGCAGAUGACCAUCUCCAAGCCAAGGAGAAAGGCUUCGGAAGAAAUCAACCCUUCUACCCUCCAGAAUGCCGA